GGGGGUAUAGCUCAGUGGUAGAGUGUGUGCUUAGUAUGCACGAGCUCCUGGGUUCAAUCCCCAGUACCUCCA
rnacentral:tRNA from 1 species